AUUCGGGGUGCAGCAGGCGCGAAACCUUUACAAUGCGCGAAAGCGUGAUAAGGGAACUCUGAGUGGCAGCCGGCUUUUGCCGACUGUCUUUUGCCAACCCUAGACCGGUUGGAGAAUAAGUUCUGGGUAAGACCAGUGCCAGCCGCCAUGUGCAAUUGCACAAUGCGCACGGUACGCGGUAAUACUGGCAGAACGAGUGGUGCCCACGAAUAUUGGGUCUAAAGAGACCGUAGCUGGCCCGUUAAGUCCACUGUGAAAUCUUGGGGCUCAACCUCAAGGCGUGCAGUGGAUACUGGCGGGCUCGAGAGCGGGGGAGGUCAGGGGUACUUACGGGGUAAGAGUAGAAUCUGUUGAUCCUGUAAGGACCACCAGUGGCGAAGGCGCCUGACCAAAACGCGUCUGACAGUGAGGGUCGAAGGCUAGGAGAACGAAUCGGAUUAGAUACCCGAGUAGCCCUAGCAGUAAAUCAUGCAGACUGUGGUGUUGCCAUGGCUUCGGGCCAUGGCAGUGCUGUAGCGUAGGUGUUAAGUCUGCCACCUGGGGAGUAC
rnacentral:rRNA from 1 species